rnacentral:lncRNA from 1 species
AAGAUUGUUUUAUGUUAGUCUUUUAAACUGGGAAAAUGCUCUCACAAUGUUUGUUAGGAAAGAAUAUUGAAAUGAUAUAAUAUUCCUUCUCCAUCACGAAUUUCAUUCAUAUUUUAAAUGUUUUAACUGUGUGUGUGUUUGUGUAUGUUUGUGUGAUGGUCUCUCUCUCUGUCCCCUAGGCUGGAGUACAAUGGCAAGAUCUGCUGGGAUUACAGGAACAUAUUCACCCAGAUCGGAGUGAAGUGAUAAGAUCAUGGGUUACGACAACCUCUAACUCCCAGGCUCAAGCAAUUCUUUCACUACAGCCUUCCAAGUUGCUAGAGCUACAGGCACAGUCCAAAUACCCAGUCAUGCACUAACACCAAGGCUGGAGUGUAGUGGGUGAUCUCAGUUCGCUCGCUGCAACCUGUGCAUCCUGGGAUCAAGCAAUUCUUCU